CGAAAGCCUGACGGAGCAAGACCGCGUGGGGGAGGAAUGCCUUAGGGUUGUAAACCCCUUUUAUCUGGGAAGAACAAAAUGACGGUACCAGAUGAAUAAGCCUCGGCUAACUCCGUGCCAGCAGCCGCGGUAAUACGGAGGAGGCAAGCGUUAUCCGGAAUUAUUGGGCGUAAAGCGUCCGCAGGUGGCGAUUCAAGUCUGCUGUCAAAGCACGGGGCUUAACUCCGUAAAGGCAGUGGAAACUGAAUAGCUAGAGUGCCGUAGGGGUAGGGGGAAUUCCCAGUGUAGCGGUGAAAUGCGUAGAGAUUGGGAAGAACACCGGUGGCGAAAGCGCCCUACUGGGCCAUAACUGACACUGAGGGACGAAAGCUAGGGUAGCG
rnacentral:rRNA from 1 species